rnacentral:rRNA from 1 species
CUCUCGGCAACGGAUAUCUAGGCUCUCGCAUCGAUGAAGAACGUAGCGAAAUGCGAUACUUGGUGUGAAUUGCAGAAUCCCGCGAAUCAUCGAGUUUUUGAACGCAAGUUGCGCCCGAAGCCACUCGGCCGAGGGCACGUCUGCCUGGGCGUCACGCACCGUUGU